UUUUUAUUGCACAUCUACCAAGUGCCAAGCCGUCUGCUAAGCAUUGGGGUUACAAUGAUGGAAAUAUCAGACAUAGCCCCUGCCCUGUAGAGUUUACAUUCUGGAGUGAACAGCAAAGGUGAAGGUGAAGAAACAAAUAAAUAAAAUUAUUACAAAGUACAAUCCAUGCUAUUAUGAAAAGAAAUCAAAUAGAGGACUGAAAUAGAAAUUAGAAGAGGAGGGCUGGUUUGGACAGGGCAGUGAGGAAAACUUCUCUGCAGAGAUGACACUCAGGUGGAUGUGAAGAAUGAAAAUGGGGCCAGCUCAGUGUGUGUGUGUGUGUGUGUGUGCGCACGCAUGCACAUGCUGGGAGAGGAUGGGAUUCUAGGCCCUAUGGUAGGAAAAGAAGUUUGACUAGUGGGAGCUGAAAGACUCAAGCACCUGGCCAAGGAUAAGGGGUAUGAGAUAAGGCUGGGAAAAUGGGAAAAGUGUGGAAUUACUCAGGGCCUCACAGGCUAUGGUAACAUUCCAAACACACACACACAUGCAUGUGCACAUAUGCACACACACAGCACACACGCAUGGGCACACUGAAAGCUUCUGGAGAAAAGAUAUCAUGAACCGAAUGCUAUUAAAAGACAGUUCUGGUUGUUUGUUUGUUUGUUUGAGACAGGGUCUUACUCUGUCACCCAGGCUGGAGUGCAGUGGUGCAGUCUCAGCUCACUGCAGCCUGGACCUCCCAGGCUUAAGUGAUCCACCCACCUCAGCCUCCCGAGUAGCUGAGAUGACAGGUGCAUGCCACCACACCUGGCUGAUUUUUUUUUUUUUAAUAGAUGAGGUCAAGCUAUGUUACCCAGGCUGGUCUCAAAGUCCUGGCCUCAAGUGAUCCUCCCAAAAAGACAAUUCUUCAUACUUCCUGGAGAUUGAAAUGGAGGAGGUGAGGGUUGGCAGCAGGCAGGCCAGUCAUGAGGCCACUGUGGAGUCCAGGUAAGAGAGGAUUUCAUGGAUGCAUUAAGUCGAAAUGUCCGCGAGGCCUCCAACAGAAGUCUCCAAGGGAACUGCUUCUGGGGGUCAGAACUCAGAGGAAGAAUGGGGUUUGCCACCAUACAGAUGGUGUCUAAACCACAGAAACACAGCAGAGGGUACGGCAGGACCAAGUCCACGUGGCACUAGCUUUCCAGUCACUUUGGUGGCUUAGAAAAACCAGGGCCAUGGUGGCCAUUGAGAAGAAUGGUGGCAAAGCAAGUGCAUUUUUUGUGGGAUCUGGUGGACUGGACGAUAUAUUGGAUGUGAAAGGUAAGGCAGCACCAAGGACUGCAGUCUUCAGCAACUAGAAAGAUGAAGGUGAGGCAGGCUAGAUUGGGGGUGACAGGGGGGAAUCAAGGGUUGUCAUCUGGAUGCAUUAAGUCGAAAUGUCCGCGAGGCCUCCAACAGAAGUGUUCAAGGGAACUGCUUCUGGGGGUCAGAACUCAGAGGAAGAAUGGGGUUUGCCACCAUACAGAUGGUGUCUAAACCACAGAAACACAGCAGAGGGGAUGGCAGGACCAAGUCCACGUGGCACUAGCUUUCCAGUCACUUUGAAGAGAAACCUGCCAAGAGGCGGCUGUGGAAGGGUCAGCGCGAUGUACUGGC
rnacentral:lncRNA from 1 species